UGGGGAAUUUUGCACAAUGGGGGAAACCCUGAUGCAGCGACGCCGCGUGAUUUAGAAGGCCUUCGGGUUGUAAAAAUCUUUUCUAUGGGAAGAAAAUGACAGUACCAUAGGAAUAAGGACCGGCUAAUUACAUGCCAGCAGCCGCGGUAAUACGUAAGGUCCGAGCGUUGUCCGGAAUCAUUGGGCGUAAAGGGUACGUAGGCGGGUAAGCAAGUUAGAAGUGAAAUCCUAUAGCUCAACUAUAGUAAGCUUUUAAAACUGCUCAUCUUGAGGCAUGGAAGGGAAAGUGGAAUUCCUAGUGUAGCGGUAAAAUGCGCAGAUAUUAGGAGGAAUACCGGUGGCGAAGGCGACUUUCUGGCCAUAACCUGACGCUGAGGUACGAAAGCGUGGGUAGCGAACAGG
rnacentral:rRNA from 1 species